GACGAACGCUGGCGGCGUGCUUAACACAUGCAAGUCGAACGGUGAACCUCUUCGGAGGGGAUCAGUGGCGAACGGGUGAGUAACACGUGGGCAACCUGCCCCCGGCUCUGGGAUAACUCCAAGAAAUUGGGGCUAAUACCGGAUGUUCACCGCUUCCCGCAUGGGUGGUGGUGGAAAGGGUUUCCGGCUGGGGAUGGGCCCGCGGCCUAUCAGCUUGUUGGUGGGGUAGUGGCCUACCAAGGCGACGACGGGUAGCCGGCCUGAGAGGGUGACCGGCCACACGGGGCCUAAGACCGGCCCCAGCCCCCGAGGGGGGCCGGGGGGGGGAAAGUUGGCGAAGGGGGGGGGGGCCUGACGCAGCGGCCCGGGGGGGGGGAGGCCGGCUUUGGGGUUGAAACCCUCUUCCAGCGGGAAGAAGGCGAAAGGGACGUUACCGAAAAAAAAAGCCCCGCCCAACUACGUC
rnacentral:rRNA from 1 species